rnacentral:rRNA from 1 species
AGCGAACGCUGGCGGCAGGCCUAACACAUGCAAGUCGAACGAACUCUUCGGAGUUAGUGGCGGACGGGUGAGUAACACGUGGGAACGUGCCUUUUGGUUCGGAAUAACUCAGGGAAACUUGUGCUAAUACCGAAUGUGCCCUUCGGGGGAAAGAUUUAUCGCCAUUAGAGCGGCCCGCGUCUGAUUAGCUAGUUGGUGAGGUAAAGGCUCACCAAGGCGACGAUCAGUAGCUGGUCUGAGAGGAUGAUCAGCCACAUUGGGACUGAGACACGGCCCAAACUCCUACGGGAGGCAGCAGUGGGGAAUCUUGCGCAAUGGGCGAAAGCCUGACGCAGCCAUGCCGCGUGAAUGAUGAAGGUCUUAGGAUUGUAAAAUUCUU